rnacentral:tRNA from 1 species
CGGAGUUUAGCUCAGUGGUAGAGCGCAUGCUUAGCAUGCGUGAAGCCCUGGGUUCAAUCCCCAGUACUUAAA